rnacentral:lncRNA from 1 species
GUUCUACAAAAUUACGACAUUUAUACUACAAUUAAACUACAAUCUUAUGUUGACAACAGAAUUUACUCUUCAUCUACAAAAUUUCUAAAAAAACUACAAAUAAAUUACAAAAUUUUUGUAGAUGAAUUGUAGAUUAAUGUGUUCAGCGGGUAUAAUCACAAUAGCAACAGCAAAAUCCUUGAAAACAUACAACCGUGACCAAUGUAGAAGAAUUGAAGCUAGUUAUCAAUACGAUUCCCAUCUGGCUAACCACUACACCUUUUGGUAUAUGUGUAGCACAAGCUGCAAUAUUUUUCAUCAAACAAGGUGUGACACUGAACCGAAAGAUUGUUCACCAUUUUGAGAUUCCCUCUGCCUCAAUUUUUGCCUUAGCAACUGUUGGCAUGAUAAUAUCUGUCACUACCUAUGAGAAAAUCCUCGUACCUGUCCUAAGACAUGCAACAAGAAACGAAAGAGGCAUUAGUAUUCUCCAAAGGGUCGGUAUUGAAAUGAUCUUCUCUAUUUGUACUAUGAUCGUUGCAGCUCUAGUCAAAAGAAAAAGAUUCUAAUACUACCAGUUAUAUCUUUAUUUAGAAAAUAUCCACCUUUAAAAUUGUGGAUCUUGCCAUGAGUAUCAAAUUACGCUAUAAGUCGACGUUGUCCCUGUCGUUAGAGUUAGAAAGACAUGUGUUAUAUAGUUGCUGGGAAAUGAGAAAAGAAGAAAAGAGUGCUUUGCCGACACUGACACUGAGAGAUGAAAGCUAGGGGAGCGAAUGGCAUUGGAUACCCCAGUAGUCCUAGCCAUAAACGAUGGAUACUAGGCACUGUGCGUAUCGACCCGUGCAGUGCUGUAGCUAACGCGUUAAGUAUCCCGCCUGGGGAGUACGUUCGCAAGAAUGAAACUCAAAGGAAUUGACGGGGGCNNNN